CUACAAGAAUCCUGGGUCAUGUGCCUGAUUGAUUAAAGCAUGAACAACUUAUUAAAAAAAAUCUUUCUAGUCAGAGCUCCUGGAGAAGGGGAACGGUUGGAUGCUGAAGUCACCUGCUUGUGUAACAAGCACAACCAGCUUCUUGUAACCAAUUGGUGACAUCUUCAUGUGAUACGGUGGCAACACACACUGAGUUGUGACCAGACAGCACCUUUACAGCACUGCCACAGUUCAAUCGACAGGCCCAUCCCUGCUGCUUAUGGACUUUAGUGCAUUCUGGGAAUACCCAGUUACGUCUCAGCAGCAGGUAGCCUGCUAGGAGGAUUCAAAUAGAGUGGCAUCAGCAACACAGAGGCCUCAUGGACUCUAGGAUAUCCUACUGCAGAGAUUGCUUGGGACACGAUAGUCUGGACAAGACAUUUAAAGGUCCCCUGUGCACCGAAGAAAGGACUAUGCUGAACUGAAGAAGAUGCUGUGAGGAACCAUGGGAUAUUGGCAUUUAAGGGACAAAACCUUAGCAAAGACAAAAGCCUGCCUGCUACCCAGCUGAGCAUUAAGCCAGUCGUGGCAUCUUCAAAUGCAGCCCUGCACAAUUUCCAUAUGUGGCAGUGACUCUGGACACGGGGAAGUGUCCAUUUUAUGGGAGUUCCAUCCCAUGAGAACUCUGGCAUUAUCCACUUUAUUGCAGUGCUAAUACCCCUGGAGAUAAAACCCAGCCUCCUUGUUAUCAUCAGAGCUCAGUCUUGCUGGGAAUGCAGAUUCUUGUAAGGUUUCCUGGAUGCAUCUUCAGUGCUUUCGCGCAGCCUUGUGGGAUUUUUGCUCAGCCACAUCUCCUUGUUUUGGUGACAUCAGCAGAGCAGAAUUCCACCAAGCAUUCCCAAGGAAGCGUGAAAUGUACACACUACCUCAUACCUAAUCCUGCAAACUGGCAGCAAGUCAACUCAAGUAAUUGGAUUUGGAGCUGAAAACAAAUCUGAUAAAACUACACCAGGCGUUUGUGCACAAAAUACAUGCUAAUAAUAAUAAAAAACCC